GUUAUCCUUAGCUUCUUGUGACCAUUGAGAGCCUCUUCAAGCUGGUCUCCAUGCUCUUGCCACUCGUUUCCAAAGUUCUCAGACACUUUCGUAUGCAUUGGCCAAACCAAGUCCUAUACCAUACUCUUCAUGCCAAACCUAGGAUCUGCAGGUUCUGCAGGGAGCUGAGGAACAACUCAGAGUUCAGAAGCUCAGACCUACCUGAGAGAUGGGCUGGUUGGGUUCCAAAUUCAGUGAGUUCAUAUCGCCAUCUAGUGUUCAAAACAGGAUUGUCCUCACAACAGCGGAGACAAGGCAAGGCUGCAAAAGAUUUUGUGUGCUGUGGCUUCUUGCCUUUGCUGGCACAAAAAUAAGUCUGUCCACACUCUGGCAACCCUUCUUCCAGAAGUCUUGGUCCACCAGUGACAAAACUUCCCUUUACGACAAGAAGCUGCAAGGCUUCAUCGUAAGAACCAUGCUAGCACCACCCACCAGCAAGCUCCAGGACCUCAGCAGCAAGGUGCCCCAGAACUACAACACCAUAUCCUUCAGCAGGGCACCCCCUGUCCAUGGCUCAAGUGCAUGUCUUCAAGUGUCUGGAUGUGGCCUACAGGAGAACCAUAGCCCAACUCUCUUCAAGUGAAACAUCAGAGGCAUUUCAGCUAGCCUGCACAUCUUCGCCUCCAGUCUGGUCAAUAGAGUAUUCACUUCUACCUAUACCCUGCUGUAUGUCUUCCUGAUUGCACUACCAGUUUUCUAGAAACUUCCAUUGUUUGUUUUGUUGUGUUGUUUGUUUUGGUUGUUUGCUGCUUUGGUAUUUUGUUUGUUUGUUUUGUUUUAGACAGGAUCUCACUGUGUAUUCCAGGCUGGCUAAGAGUACCCUAUGGAGACCAGGAUGGCCUCCAGAUGGGAUGCAUCAGCCUUGUCUCAGCCUUCCAGAGAAGAAGUAUAAAUCUUUCAAAAAAAAUCUUGAUCUUACAGCUUUACUGCGGUGUAAAUUCUAGGGGCAGGGUGUUAAGGCUUUGGGGUGUUACUUUGUACUCAAGUGUGAACCAGAUGUAUCAGAAGAGCUUCCUUACAAUGCGGCAUCCCAGGAUUCAAACCAGGGUGUGCUGGGUAGGUUUACAUCAACUUAAAGCCAGCUGGAGUCAUUUUGGAAUAGCAAACCUCAAUUGAGAAAAUGCCCCAACAGAUCAGCCUGUGGCCAAGCCUGUGGUGCAUUUUCUUGAUUGAUGACUGAUGUGGGAGGACCCAGCUCCCUGUGGGUGGUGCCUCCACUGGGCUCUGAUCCUGGGUGCUAUAAGAAAACACAAGGAGCAAGCCAGUGAAUGGCACUCCUCCACACCCUUGCAUCAGCUCCUGCUUCCAGUUUCCAGCCUUGCUUGGAUUCUUUCCCUGAUUUCCUUAAAUGGUGAACUGUGAUGUGGAAGUGAAAAAUGAAUAAACCAUUCUCUCUUUAAGUUACUUUUGGUCA
rnacentral:lncRNA from 1 species